AUAAUAGUUUCUUACACAUGAGCUUACAAUAGGAUGUCAAUGUUCUUUUAAUUACAGGUUAUCACAACAUGCAUUAUCACGUCAAGUAAUACAAAGAAUUAUAGUAUGAAUUAAUUGUA